AGACGGAGUUGUAGGUGCGCAUGCGCCUCGGAGCUGUCGCCGCCGCCUCCCGCUGCUCCCCUAGGCGCGCGGCCCAAGCAUCUUCUGUUUCUCCUGAAGAUUUCAUACAGAGCACACCCCAGCUAAUCCUCAUCUUGGGCAGCUUGCGUUUUGGAUUAGGUCAAAACCCGCACCGGAGUCUUUCUAGACAGCCUGCUCUUCCCCUACAUUAACACAAGUGAGGAUCUUCAACUGUUGCUGGUAUGUUCUCAACUGCCCCUGUUCAAGUAGGAUUCUCAAGUGCAGACUCUUCACAGAAGAGUUAAAGGUCAGAAGGGAUAAUCAAAUCUGACCCUGUGUCUAUCAUAUGCCACUAAGUUUCACCAGAUAAUCUGAUAUGAACCCCAAAGACUUCUGGGACUGAAAUGCUUUGGUCUAACUGAAGACUGAACUGGCGUGCCAUGGACAGAGAACAAGAAAGACCAAGGCACUUGUGGACCAGAGACUUGGUUUUCAGCAUUAUACUAUAGAAGAUGUUGGCUAGCACUUUUGGGAAAAAUGCAAGACAAAGGACAAUGAGAUGAACAAUGACAUCUAAUGCGGUGGUGGUGGGCUGUGCUCUAGUCUAAGUGACCUGCAAGUAGCACAUGAUCUGAAGGUUACAGAUACCUUCACAGGUGUAUAUUGGUACAGAUAUAAAUGCCUGGUUCCAAUUCAAUACUUUCAGAAGGAACUCACAUGAAGAGUGAGAGUUUAUAUUACCUAUGAAGAGGUGCUGGUCGCUCAGUGUGGGGGAAGUUCACCAAACCAGCUAGCAAUCAACUGUGUCAAACACAUGCCUAUUGUCAAAUCAAGGAGAGCAAGUUUUUCCUUUGGAUUACCAAAUUGUGUCCAGUCCUGCAAAUCGUUCCAUAUAGGCUGAUGUCUGCACGGAACUCCUUGUUAGAAUCAAGGCAUAAAUGCAGAAGUUCAUACAUAGAGUGUAUAUACGUGAAUUAUCACGGGACAAAGAUAACAUUAGCUAACCAAAAAUAAAUGUAUUGAAUGUGGCUUAUCUGGAAUGUAAGUGAUCCUGCUAAU